rnacentral:tRNA from 1 species
GCAGCCGUAGUCUAACGGAUAGAACGAUGGCCUCCGACGCCAUUAAUGUGGGUUCGAUUCCCGCCGGCUGCA